CCAUAAAAACUCAGCUCAGUUUCAUUAGAAAAUAAAUUGUGGAAGUCACUUGUUAAUUACAAAGAUUGUUCAGGUGCAUUUUUUUCCUUUAAACCAUGCUAGUCUUCUAAUAUGGUUCCUUUUACGGUGAUCGUUAAUUUAUUUCCCACGACAGAUGACUCCCUGCCAUGAUUUGACACAGUUUUAGGCCAGAUGCUCCUCCUGACGCAACUCCCCAGUUUCAUCCGGGCUUGGGACCGCCACUGGGAGGGCACCGUCUUGUGCAGCCCCAGUGGCUGGGGUCGGUUCCCUGGCAGGGAUUCGAACCCAGGCGUGGCAGUGAGAGCGCCGAGGCCUAACCACUAGUCCUCCAGGGACUCCCUGCCAUACUACUUUUUUUAUACCUUGAUGAGGUGGAGUUUCGCCUGAAGUCCUCCAUGAUUAUUUCAUGAAUCAACCCAACAAAUUGACCAAAUUUAGGAAUGAAAACACUCUGCAUGCUGGCUCCAUUGCCCAGUAGCCAUGGAAACACCGGUGAACAGGUUCGACCUGAAGACAGGAUCACGCUCAUCUCUGCAAAACUCCGGUUUGGAUCAGACCAACACAUGGCCCAUUCGGCACUGAAGACCUGCCUGCUCGCUCGUGAAUAUCCCAGGGGUGCUGCCAGUGAAGGGUCAGAUGAGUGAACGCAUAGACACACACUCACAUACUGCUUACACACACACACACACACACACACACACACAUAACUAGACACAAAUAAGAGUGACAACUCACACUAUGAUCAAUAAAACAGACAUUUGUUGCAGAACAUUUAUUUUCACGUGAUUUUUACAUACGAUUCUUUUCUGAAAACAUGAUUUUACGUGAUUCUUUUAUUCACAUGAGAUUUUUCAUUUAUUGUCCCGUGCAAUUUUUUUACAUGAUGAAUUAUUUUGUCUGAUUGUUUUGCUUGUUUUACGUGUGAUUGCUAACACACGGCUCAUUUACUUUCACCUCAUAAUUUACGAUUCAUUUAUUUUCACGUGUGAUUUUUUCCCCCAUGAU